AUUGAACGCUGGCGGAAUGCUUUACACAUGCAAGUCGAACGGCAGCACGGACUUCGGUCUGGUGGCGAGUGGCGAACGGGUGAGUAAUGUAUCGGAACGUGCCCAGUCGUGGGGGAUAACGUAGUGAAAAUUACGCUAAUACCGCAUACGAUCUAUGGAUGAAAGCGGGGGAUCGCAAGACCUCGCGCGAUUGGAGCGGCCGAUAUCAGAUUAGGUAGUUGGUGGGGUAAAGCCCCACCAAGCCAACGAUCUGUAGCUGGUCUGAGAGGACGACCAGCCAAACUGGAACGGCGACACGGUCCAGACUCCUACGGGAGGCAGCAGUGGGGAAUUUUGGACAAUGGGCGAAAGCCUGAUCCAGCCAUUCCGCGUGCAGGAUGAAGGCCCUCGGGUUGUAAACUGCUUUUGUACAGAACGAAAAGGUUUCUACUAAUACUAGAAGCUCAUGACGGUACUGUAAGAAUAAGCACCGGCUAACUACGUGCCAGCCGCCGCAGUAA
rnacentral:rRNA from 1 species